rnacentral:rRNA from 1 species
UGGGGAAUAUUGCACAAUGGGCGCAAGCCUGAUGCAGCCAUGCCGCGUGUAUGAAGAAGGCCUUCGGGUUGUAAAGUACUUUCAGCGGGGAGGAAGGUGUUGUGGUUAAUAACCUCAGCAAUUGACGUUACCCGCAGAAGAAGCACCGGCUAACUCCGUGCCAGCAGCCGCGGUAAUACGGAGGGUGCAAGCGUUAAUCGGAAUUACUGGGCGUAAAGCGCACGCAGGCGGUCUGUCAAGUCGGAUGUGAAAUCCCCGGGCUCAACCUGGGAACUGCAUUCGAAACUGGCAGGCUAGAGUCUUGUAGAGGGGGGUAGAAUUCCAGGUGUAGCGGUGAAAUGCGUAGAGAUCUGGAGGAAUACCGGUGGCGAAGGCGGCCCCCUCGACAAAGACUGACGCUCAGGUGCGAAAGCGUGGGGAGCAAACA